GGAAGUGUGGCCGAGCGGUGAAGGCACCGGUUUGCUAAACCGGCAAGUGACGAAAGUUGCUUCAAGAGUUCGAAUCUCUUCGCUUCCGCCA
rnacentral:tRNA from 1 species